CCUACGGGGGGCAGCAGUGGGGAAUAUUGCGCAAUGGAGGCAACUCUGACGCAGCCAUGCCGCGUGCAGGAAGAAGGCGCUACGCGUUGUAAACUGCUUUUAACCGGGAAGAAACCCCAGGACGUGUCCUGGGUUGACGGUACCGGAGGAAUAAGCACCGGCUAACUUCGUGCCAGCAGCCGCGGUAAUACGAAGGGUGCAAGCGUUAUCCGGAUUCAUUGGGUUUAAAGGGUGCGUAGGUGGGGCGAUAAGUCAGUGGUGAAAUCCUGCGGCUUAACCGUAGAAUUGCCAUUGAUACUGUCGCUCUUGAGUACGCUUGACGUGGGCGGAAUGUGCCGUGUAGCGGUGAAAUGCUUAGAUAUGGCACAGAACACCGAUAGUGAAGACAGCUCACGAAGGCGAAACUGACACUGAGGCACGAAAGCGUGGGGAUCGAACAGGAUUAGAUACCCCUGUAGUC
rnacentral:rRNA from 1 species